UCCCAGCUCGGAACACAUAGUGGCCGCGAUCUCGCGAUGUGGGGUCCCGCGGGGCUAAUCUUCCCCCUCGCUCCACUCCGGUGCCGCCCUGCGCCUCCCGCUCCCCGCCGGUGCCGCACCACCGUCCUCCCGCAUCGCCGCUCUCCUCCUCCGGCGUGCCGCACCCUCCUGCCGACGGGGUUCCUCACGACAGUUUCUUCCCAUCCUACAAAUCGACAAUCUCCUGCAGCGGGGAUCGAGGACGCGAACGACGUCAUCCACUCUAGGCAUCGAAGCUUCCUCACACUCACCUGAGCUGUCGAAUCCUUGGGGGGCAUUCCUCUCCAGAGGCAUAUGGUGUUCGAUCGAUUUGGAUUUCACCUCCAAUAAUUGAAUCGAGGACGCCGGCAUGGUAUUAGGAACCACCGGCAUGCUCCACGGUCAUGGAUGAAACUGACACCGUACAGGCGCUGGUGAAGGUGCAUACCCUGCAUCGCAGCUUUGUUCUUGGCCUGAUUCAUCCAUGUUGACAUGCGUUUUUUAUCUGCUAGUUACUUGUUCUUGAUCUUGCAUAUGUAGGAGCUUAAUUUUAUUUUUAAAACUCUUUUCCUUCUAUAUUUUCAACAUGCACAGAUAGAUAUUGCUGCAAUUGAGAUCGAGUACACAUGCAGGUCCGUCAAACAACCACGAAUUCUGCUUUCAGCUGCAUUGUCCAUAAGUAAUAAUAUGAUAUAAAGCUGGAUUAUUUUUUUUAAUGUGAAAGCACGUUGAGCCCAGAUCUCAUUUUGGCCUUGGAGCAUGGUGUUUCUGCACGGCUAUUUAGAUGCAUUGGUACUUGAAUCAGGACUAGCUAUUUUAUUAUCUACUCUCAGUUUAUCUCACUUGUGCUCUAUCUGAAACAUCUGUAGCUGUUGCGUCAGUGUUGGUUUCGGGCCUAAUCUUCCAUGGCGUUGUUGGUGUGGUAAUGAAGUUCAUUGCUAGUGCUGGUACCAUGGUGUGGAUAUUUAUCAUCGGGGAAUAGGAUUACUCGGAGUUCGGGGGAUCUUCCUGUUUUAUCUGCUCUUAUGCGAGUAGUCUAAUGUUUUCUCCAUAAUCCACACAUUCAUAUUGAACCUUAUUUGCACCUGUUGAUGCCAUCAAUGAUCACUUGCAUUGUCGGAAAAAGGCUAGGGCAUAGGUUCUCUGAUAACCACUGGGAACUUGGAGACUUCUCUGCCAAUUUGGUUGGUCUGGUAUGCCGGAGGUUUGGUCAUGUCUAUCACAACGUUCAAAACCGGUUAACAAAAAUAUUAAUCCAUGUGUUUCUUGAUCCUGCGAAAUCAUUCACCCAACAUUAUGGUGCUGUUCAAGGGAUAUCUGCAUUGGGGCCCAGUGCGGUAGAACCUAAUCAGUGUAAACUCAUCCAUUGUCUUAGUCAUGCUGAUUGUAUUUGUUGCUUACAGAUUAGGCUGCUGCUUUUGCCAACCUCGUGACAUAUAUGCAACUUCUGGAGCCAGAACUGCAACUUGAGAAGCAGAAAAUGAGAUGAAAAUGAAGGAAGCCUGGCGUGUUUAUGGUGCCUUGCUGUGUGCUGCAGGCAAAUGCGCAGGGGCAUGGUGCUGAGGCAUGCUUGGAAGGAGGAUCAGGAUGCCGGUCAUCUCCUGGGGUCACUAUAUGAGGUCUUCGGUGAAGCCACUCCUUUGUCCAAUCACCAGAGAUAUCCUUGUUUUGUGUAGAAAGUGGACUCAAAUAGGCUUGGAAGUAUUUUAAUCUGUGUUGUACAAGUAGGAAUGUCUUACUGGAUUCUUGGAAUUGUUUCAAGAAAUAUCGAAGUUUUGUAACAGUAGGGACAAUUCCUGGGUGGGUGUGGUGUAACUUGCAUCAGCUGAUCUAGUGAGUUACAGCGUAAUUUUAACCAAAAUUUGGCAGAGAUUUUUGGUAUUUUGACCACGACA